rnacentral:rRNA from 1 species
GAGGGACCUGCGUCCCAUCAGCUAGUUGGUGAGGUAACGGCUCACCAAGGCUACGACGGGUAGGGGACCUGAGAGGGUGGCCCCCCACAAUGGAACUGAAACACGGUCCAUACACCUACGGGUGGCAGCAGUAGGGAAUAUUGCACAAUGGGCGAAAGCCUGAUGCAGCAACGCCGCGUGUGCGAUGAAGGCCUUCGGGUUGUAAAGCACUUUUCUGAGAGAUGAGAAAGGACAGUAUCUCAGGAAUAAGUCUCGGCUAACUACGUGCCAGCAGCCGCGGUAACACGUAGGAGGCGAGCGUUAUCCGGAUUCACUGGGCGUAAAGCGCGUGCAGGCGGUUUGGUAAGUUGAUCGUGAAAGUUCCCGGCUCAACUGGGAGAGGUCGGUCAAUACUACCGAACUAGAGAGUAGAAGAGGAAGAUGGAAUUCCCGGUGUAGUGGUGAAAUGCGUAGAUAUCGGGAGGAGCACCAGUGGCGAAGGCGAUCUUCUGGUCUGUUUCUGACGCUCAGACGCGACAGCUAGGGUAGUAAACGGGAUUAGAG